rnacentral:lncRNA from 1 species
ACUCAACUUGGUCCAUAAAAUGAGGAUGUGGAUAUUGUUCUUCACUAUUAACAAAAGUAAGAGUAACAAAUCGUAUGACUUUGUAGUCAUCAGUUUUAGAAUCAAACCCAAAAGAAGCGUGGUCAAAAGAAACGUCAUCUAAAGUAAGGUAGGUUUCUUCGAAUGGUGAAAAAUAUGGAGGGCGUUGGAUUGAAGAUGGUGGAAGGAUUUUAAACUCUCUGGUUGAUGGGUUCCAAAUGGCAGCCUUAUCCUUUGAAGGAUCAAGUAAACACAACAAUCCAUGACAAGCACCAUAAACAGCCUUGUCCAACCCCAUCGUCGCCUUCCCUCUCACUUCUCACUGUCCCAACCCCCACCACUGCUCACUUCCCUCUCACUCCUCACCGUUUAUCUCAUUGGCAUCUCUUCUAACAUUUGUGGUGAGAUCAACAGUGAAGAGUGAGAGGGAAGGCAGCGACGACAGGGGUUGGAUACAAUGGCAACAGUAGCUAGAGGGGAAAAUAGAAAGAGGAGAAGAAAUAAAUUGAAAUAAAAUGAAAAAAAAAUAUGUUAAACAAUUUUGUUUAUAGAAGACUUCAUCUAUGAACUCGUGCUUAUGUGGCACGCCACAUAGGCUACUUUGUUGACCUGUGGUUUGACCGACGAUCAACUCACAUUUUUCGUUAAAAUUGGGUUGAUUUAUUAAAAAAUCAUACCAUUAAGGGUGUCAAUCAAAAAAAAAAAAGGUUAAUGGCUCAAACCCAAAAACUCAAAAAAAUUGAAGGUUUUUUUCAAAAAUUAUGCCAAAUUCUUUGUUAAAUUUUUUGGUUUGAUAUUCUUUGUUAAAUUUGUUAGUUUGAUAUUCUUUCAAAAGUACAUUAUAAUGCUUUUUUUUUUUUUUUUGUUAACCCAAGCCCAAACUUUUGAAAGCAAAUACUAUUUUGAGAGGGAAAAGAUUUGAUUUUUUUUUUGUUCAAUUGCUUGAAUCUGGUUGGAUAGUUUCUAUUUUCAUUUUAUUAACCAUUUAAAGAAAGAUAUUGAAUGUUAUGGGAUUAGGUUUAGGUUAUUUUAAAUCUAUAUUCGAAUUAGUGUUAUUUUAAAAUCGAAUCAUUUUGAGUUUAAAUCAUUCAAAUUUGUUAAUCGAAUUUUAAAGAUAAAAGAACAUAUUAAAAAUAUGUAAUAUUAAUUGGAUUAUUUUAAACCAUGACCUAAAUACUUGAGUCUCAAAGUAAGCCCUAGCUCAAUAAAACACAUAUGAUAGUUUAGAGUACCGUAAUAAAAUACAUAUUGAUAAUCAAGAUAUUACAUUAACAUUUGUAAACAUAUAUGAGACAAUUGUGGCAAAGCUAGCUAUGGAAAUUCUAUGGUAUCGGAUCCACUAUUGCACCGGCCGUAAAAUAAGUUGGAACAAUUUUGAGGCCUUCCAAAGAUAUAGGAUGGCCUUGGUCUUCCAUAACAAAUAAAAAACUCCCCGAGUAGUAGAACAUUAGUUCUUUUGUGUUUACUGCAUGAAAUUUGUGGAGAUGCUCCUAUAAAUCGGAAAACUGUAUCCGCAACUUACCGGACCGUAUAGGUGGAUCCAAGUGUGAGUCCCAUAGCUAAAUCCCAAAAUUCAUUAAAACAAAUAAGAGACAAUAAAGUAUAUUAAACACAAAUAGGAAUGUGAAGGGAAAAUAAAAAUAAAUUAUUUGAUAUACCUGAAUUUAAAUUUGUCCUAAGCUGUAUGGCCGAUUGGAAGUAUGACAGAGGAUGUUGUGCAAAGUCGGAACAUGUGCCAUGUUUAAUCCAUUCCUUGAACCAAAACUCAAAGUCUGACCCUGUCAAUACCAAGUCCGGCCAUAGUGUGGGCAGUUGGUUCCAAAGAGCUAUAUCACCACUCAACAAUUGCUUUUAAAUAAGAAACAAAAAAAUUGAUUAGAUUACAGAUAAAUUACUUAAUAGUUUCAAGCAAAGAAUGUACGUAUGCGUACUUGGAGUGGUGGCCGGGUUAGAAUAGGUUGUGGAUAGGUGCAAGGCUUCCUUGCAUUGUACGGGGGCACCGGCAUGUCAUGAGCGUCUUGCGCCCAAAUUCCAUGUAUUUUGAAUUCAGUUGGGAUUGGGAGUUUACAGUUGAGAGUAGAGCUGCAAACUGAGGGAGGCCAUUGAAAUGCCAGCUUAUAGAAGUCUACCACUGGAAUUACUGGCGGCUGGGGUACUGCAAAUGCUACCCAUAAUGCAAAAUGAUACAAUGCAUUUUUACAAAUUUACAAAUCAAAAGAGAACUACUCCAUAUAUAGAUAUUACAUGUAUAGAUGGUCGGGCUGAGAUUGGAUGAUUGUGCAUUGCAAGCAGCUGGUUUAUGAUCUCCUUUAUAAGCUUGGCACACAAAUUUCACGAAAUUUUCAAAGUCCUGCAACCAUGAAAUAAAAUAUUGAAGUUACUUGUCACAAAAUGUUACUUUACAGUCACACCAAGAGGGAGAAAUAAACAAACUCACUUGUCCGAGUGGCUGAUUAUUCACCACCACCCAUGGCACAUAUUCUUGAGGUGGCUUCAGAUGUGCAGUCUCGUUAGCAUAUUGCAGCAGAAGCUGCAUUUUAUUAAUUUGGAAAUUCAAUGUUAAUUAAAUACUAUGACAUGCAGCCAACCUUAUAUCCAAAUCCAGUAGUAUAGCAUUAAUUUGUUGAUUAUCUCCUCAUUCAAUCUCAGCUUUUCACUGCAAUUUUUCCACAGUGCUUCAACUGGCCCCGUUUUAAUCUUUGUUGCUCUGUGCUGCGAAUGAAUUCCUCAGUAGAGUAAUUAAACACGAGUUGGGGACAAGUACAAAUACUUUUGGCUAACAGAGUUUACCACAUAUGACGCAUAUUGUUAUCAUCCCUAAAAAACAACUAUACACCACCUUAAAAAAUGAUUUGCCUGAAGAUUGCAAAGAUAAUAAAAUUGUUUAUUUAUUUAUAUAUGUACGAAGGUCGCAGUUUACAGGCCCUCAGAUGAAAAGGAUUUAAAUUAAUCCCAAAGUUUUAAUGUACAAAAGAAAACAUGUGCAAAAGUAUCAAAGUUAAUGCCUAAGAAGUUGAUUUCAUGCAUGGUAAAUUAUUAAGAUAUAAAAUUGGACAUUAUUUAUAUAUAUAAAAGCCUUCCAUUGAAUGCCUAAAAAGCUCUUUGGUUUUUCAUGAAGUUAGAAACUGACUUGAGAAAUUCAUGGUUCCCUUCACUAAGUACCAACCACAACAGCAUCAAAACAAUUUAGAAGAAAUGGAUUUACGUACCAUAAUGUUAAUGUAGAAUUGUUUAGCUGUUACUUUCAUGCAUGAAAGCUGAUCCAAUUUUGCUAAUAUAUUUUUUGUUAAAUUGCGCGUUAUUAUUAACCCAUUGAAAGAAGCAAAAUAUUUUUAUUGAUCAGUACUCAAAUUAAAUUUAAUUUCCUUUCGCAACAUUCUGUCGAAAUAUAAUUUGUUGUCAUCAUCAUAUUGUAAAAUGAACCAGACACUAAAUUCAAUGCAUUUAAGGAAUAUAAAGAUGCAAGACAAGAAACUAGAUAUAAUCACAAGAUUUUGGCAGUUUUCAUUAAAAUUGUAGUCUUUUGUCAAUGUUUUCCACCAUAAUUGUGCGUUAUCAAUAAAAAUAAAAAUAAAAAGCACAAAAUCAAGGCAGGGCACAUUACUUGACUAACAUGCUACCAUUGUAGUCAAUAGAAACAAUAAUGAAGAUACAGAGCACACACAUCAAGGCUAACACAAACAGGUACAUUGUUGAAAAAUUUCCACUUAUCAAUGUUAAAGCUUUGAAUUUUACUGAUAACAUAAUAUUGUGUGCUUUUUUUUAGGAUAUAUAAUGCAAAACUUUGUAAUCCCUGUUAUGCAUUUUGAGGUUAUAUACAUUUCCCCACUUUUGAAGUUUAUUCAUACAUAAUGGUAUUUUCAAACUAUGGCAGAAAUCUUAUAGUUACACUAACCAAAUAAAAACAAACAUAAACUGAACAAUUCUCCAAAUCCACAAACCAGGCAAAGGUCAACAUCUCAAACAUAUAAUUCGAACAAUAAUAGCAAUAUUAAAAAGAUCACAACAAAAAAUUCCUAUUACAUCUUACACCUUUAUGUUAUGGUUCCUAUCCUUCUUCAUAUUUAAUAUUUAUUUGAUGCAUCUCCAGCUGAUCGACGUAUUAUAUGUUCUUCAGGCUCUUGUAUUCCAUUGAUACGAACCAAGCUCUCAACAUAAACAUGAAAAAAGAGAUGGAUAGCGGAAAAUGAUCUUGAUAAGUGAUAAUCUCAAGCUCCUUAAGUACUUGAGUGGACGGGUCAACUAGUAAUAUUUCUUUAUUUGAGCUUAUAAGAAUCAAUUUACCAUUUUCCCCAAACCCCAGUGGGUGUACAAAUGGAGGAAUAGAUUUAAUACUGAAUUGUUUAGUCCGAACUCCAUCAUUCGUAACCCAUAAAUCUAAACACGUGUAAGUUUCUUUCGAUAGGUAAAAAAUAACACUGAGUGAUACAUUAAACACCUAUAGGCUUGUAAUAGCCCAUUUUUGACCGGGCCAAAUAUAAAAAAAAAAGUUAACAAUCCCAGUCUAUUUACAACAAAUCAGACAGGCCCAAAGCCCUAACGGCCCAAUAUGGCCUAAAAACUAAACGAAAUCAGAAAACCCUAGGGUUCCCUCCCCUCUCGCGCCGCAGCUUCUUCCAUGUACGCCUUUGGUGUGCAUGACGCCCGAUGACGACUCCUUCACCGAAGUUGCACCGAAAUGGCAAUGGUUUCUACCCGUUGACUCCUCAUGACCUGUAAAAUAGACGAAAACAGUAGCCAAUAGACAGAAACAGAGACAGUAAAAGAAAAAGCAGUAUAAUCGGCUAUAAAGCCCGAACGAAAAUGUAAUCUUGUUACAGGCGGAUAGUUGAAUGAAAAAAGAGAACAAAAUAUCAAUCAAAAGAUCCCGAAGGUUUACUUCUACCAUUAGUUUAAUUUUUAUUUUAUUCUACUUUUUUUUUAGUUUUUACAUACGAAAAUAAAGCAAAAGGAAAAAAAGGGAAUAAUAAAACUAACCUGUAUUCGGGUUUUUAACGCUGUGGACGGCCGAGGGAGUCACCUCCAAGGAUAGGUGGCUGGAAACUGAAAAGUUUCUCGAGCUUUUGGGGUGUUUUUGUUAACAUUUUUGGAUUUUUGAACCCAAAUUCGGAUUUAGGAGAGUCUAAAGGAUAGGGCUAGGGUUUUUACCCCUUUUCAACAACCGCGGACGUCGUUCUGCCGAAGACCCGCGCAUGCAACCCGACUCGCCAGAGGAUCCGCGCGUUUUUAACUUUUGGGCUAUUUGCGUUUCAGGCCGUUUUGCAUUUUUUGUAUGUUUCAAUUUGGUCCUUUGCAUUUUUUCUUUAUAUUUUCAUUUGGACAGCAGAUUUGUCUCGGUUUUUAGUUUGGUCCUCGAUUCGUUGGACCCUUGGGGAGGAGAUGCAUGGCCUAAAAGCGGGUUUAUUAGUCAUUUGGCCCUCGCCCUUUCGUGCCCUCUUCAUUCUGGUCCCUCUUUGUUUAUUUUAUUAUAGCUUUGAUCCUUAAAUUUCAUUUUUAUCCUGAUUUAGUCCAUUUUUGUUAUUUUUUAUUUUCUUAUUAAUUAAUAUAGUAUUAUCAUACUUAUAUUUUUUAUAUUUAUUUAUGAAUUAUUAUUAUAUCAUUAUAUUAUACUAUUAGCAUUGUAUCAUUAUUAUUUAAAUAAGUUUAUCUUAUUAUUGAUUAUUAUUAUUUGCUUAUACAUAUCCUUUUAUUUCAAACUUUAUCAUAUAUAUACACAUACAUAUAUAUCUUUUAUAUUUUAUAGUUUUUUAAAAUAAGUAUACACAUACAUACAUUUCUUAUAGUAUAUAUAUAUACAUACAUAUUUUAUAAUUUAUAUAUUUAUACAUUNNNNNNNNNNNNNNNNNNNNNNNNNNNNNNNNNNNNNNNNNNNNNNNNNNNNNNNNNNNNNNNNNNNNNNNNNNNNNNNNNNAUGUAUAUAUACAUACAUAUGUUUUUUCAUAUAUUUUAAAAUAUACAUACACACAUUUUUAUAAUAUACAUACGCACAUAUAUUUUAUGUUUUAUAUAUUUAUACAUACAUAUGCAUUUUAUAUUCUAUAACUUUAAAAUAUAUAUACAUACAUAUAUUCUCUUUUAUAUAUACUUUAUAAUCUUAAAAUAUACGUAUACUUAUAUACAUUUUAUAAUACAUAUAUGUACGUAUAUUUUAUAAUUUAUAUAUACAUAUAUAUUUGUUACAUUAUAUAAUUUUAAAAUAUGUAUAUAUAUACACACAUUUUUUUUAUUUUUUUAUAGUUUUAUUUAUUUUAUUUAUUGUAUUUUUUGUUUUACUCGAUGUUUAUUUGUUUAUUUGCAUAUAUGUUCAUUAUUAUUUUAAAAGAAUGUCCUAAUUAUUCAUUUAUUUACUUGUUAUGGUAUAAUUGAUUUGCAUUUUCUAUUAUUUGCAUCAUCGUAUUCAUUAUUGUGUUGUUAUACACAUUAAUACUGUGUUUUAUUUCUACAAUUUCGAGUUAGAUUAAUUUAUCUCGAUGCAUAGAUUUUGACUUUCGAAUAAGCAAAAUUUCGUGUUUAGAUUCGAGAAGGUCGUACCCUAACUUAUGGGGUUUCGAUUUUCGCAAUAAAUCUAAAUACACGAAUCAUUUCAAACUAAAGUUUUCUUUUUUUUAUGAUCUUGAGAAUUAACAAAAGGUCGUGUCCUAACUUACAGGACACGAUCCUUUUUUAAACUCGAGAUAGUUGAAUAUAUUUUCAAAUAGGUAAAUUUUCCUGCGUUUAUUCUCGUAUCGGGAAUUUAAGAUAUUGUGUCAUAACUUACGGGAUAUAAUUUUCUUCCUCGAUUAACGUGAAAUAUGCCUUAUUCUCAAAAUUUUUAGCAUUUCAAUAAAGGAUCGUAUUUUAAAUCUCUUUAAAGUUUUCAAUUUUCGAGACUAAGACAUUAAUCAAUCAACUAGGUACCAAUUUUGGGCGUUACGAGGGUGCUAAUCCUUCCUCAUACGUAACCAACUCCCGAACUCGUUUUUCUGAAUUUCAUGGACUAAAAUCUUUGUUUUAAUAAAAUCAAAUUGUUUAUUAAAAACCACUUUUCAAGGUGGCCCGAUCACACAUUAUCAAAAAGGAUUGGUGGUGACUCCCAUAUUCGUUUUCAUUUUUAAAAUCCAAGUCGAUCGCGUUUUCAAAAAAAAUGUUCGAUAUCAUUCCUCAGGUCAAAUGAAAGAAUUAUUUCUCUAAAACCAUAAUAUUCCCCCAUUAUUGUUUGCCAAUAGCAAAUUCCAUCUAUGUAAUUAUUUCCCAAAAUUAUAUUAGUUGGUUUAUAAUUAAGAAAUGGAAUUUCCUUCCAGGAAUCACUUCUAAGUGAAUACAACUCAACUUGGAGAACAUUUGGGAACUCAAAAUCACAAUAUAUUUCUCCUACCUCACAAAUAUCAAAAGUAAGAGUAACAAAUUGUACGACUUUGUAGUCAUCAGUUUACAAUCAAACCCAAAAGCAAUGUGGUGAAAAGAAACGUCAUUUAAAAUGCGAUAACCUUUGAUGCAGGGAAGAUAUGAAGCGCGUUGGACUGAAGAUGGUGGAAGGAUUUUAAACUCUCUGGUUGAUGGGUUCCAAAUGGAAACCUUAUCCGUUGAAGAAUCAUGUAAACACAAUAAUCCAUGAGAAGCACCACAAACAGAGACUUCUUUCUUAAAAAGGGGCAGGUAAACGUCUUGUUUUACUAAAAAAUUAUUUUAUUCGGUUGAAAGUUGGAAGAUGUCACUAUCAUACCGCUUGAGAAGUAGAUUAAGGUUGGUGUUUUUAAGGUUGUUGUGGUGAUGUUUGGAAAUGAAAUGAGGAGUUUGAAAAAGAAGAACACCAAUACUUACAAACACAGUUGAAGUAAGGGAUUUAACUGGAAGCUUUGACAGAAUUUCCAUCUCAAAAGCUUUGGCAAUUCAAAUUGUAAAACCCAAAUUCUGCCCGGGCCCAUUAAAACCAAAUUAUAAUAAACCAAAUAUAAAAGCCCAUCUACACAACCCAAAAAAUCAAACCCAUUACAUCAAACCCAAUCCCCGGCCCAAAUAUCCAUUAACCCAAAUAGCCCAAUUACAUUAAAGCCCAAAAAAAUAGUUUUCAGAAACCCCUAGGGUUUCUGGAACAAUCCAAGCGCCGCUCCUGCCCUCCGCAGACACCAGCCUCUCGCCUCGGCCGCACGUACGCCUCCACCUCCAGGCUGGUUGUGUACUUGCAAAAAUUCAAACAACCAACAAAAGAAAGCACUAGAAAGCCGUGAUUAAAUACUAAAAUUACAUAUUUUAUGUAAUUAAUUUGGUAUAUUUAUGAGAAUGCACCACUAAUUUUGCCAUAUUUAUUGAAUUUUGUGCAGGAAUGUAAUUUGGGGCUAAAUAGAAGAAAAAGGAAACAAUUGGGCUGAAUUGAAGAAAGAAGCGAAAAAGGAGGGCCAAAGAUUAAUUAGCUGAAAUUUUUGAGUUAGUGGGAGAAUAUUUUGGGAUUUAUUUUAUUUUGGGAUAUUUUUUUCCUUAAUUUCCUAUGACUAGUUGGCUCCUAAUUUAGUAAAUCAACUAGUAUAAAUAGAGCUUGUAUUGCUCAUCAUUUCAUCAAUCAAAAAAUAAUUUAGCUUUUGUCUUUCAAUUCUCUCAUUUCUCACGUAGCCUUUGUUAUUUCUUAGCUUGUUUUCCUUCAAUUUUCAUUAGUUCCAGUAGCCUACCAUCCAUUUCACCUUUAUUUUCAACUUUUCACAAAUUUAUUUAUUGUCUUUAGUUUCUUUAACUUUUAAUUCCUAAAAACUUCCAGCUUUUACUACUUUCCAUUUACAAUACCUUUUUCAAAUUCCCUUUUUCAACCACCCCCACACUUAAUCACAUCACCCAUCUUUUCACCUCUUCUACCUUAUUUAAUUUAUCAAAUACCAACAUGUCCCAAACCUUAGCCAACUAAACCCAUUUUCAGCUUUAGGCCGAAAUUAGCCUCGUCAAAACCCGUGAGUUACGAACCCGAGCCAUUUAACUCCUAAAAUUCCAGUACUUAUUACUUCUCCGGAUUAAGAGUAUGAUUUUGUCAGCUCAUAAAUUCAGAUCAACACUAAGUCAAAAAAGACGUCGUUUGAUUUGGUGUGAUUAGACGUACAGUUGGAAUUUCGAAAAGAACGUUUCUAAUCGGUUUUCUGUGAACACAUUAGCGUGCCAAGUGGAGGCUGCUAUUUGGUUCCGUCAAGGGAAGUAGUAACCGGAUUUAAAUGUCCCACGCGGUUGAGGGCAUUGGUUCGAGCUAGGCUCUUCUAGAACGCAAAGCUGCCGGAGUUCUAAAUCACGAACGUUUCGUGGUUGUUCGAUCGGUAAGAAUUAUUUAUUAGACGUUCCAUAACUAAUUUACACAAGGAAGAGUUGGUGUCCGAGGCGUCCUUGGUAGCUAUAACUAGCUUAUUGGAAAAUAGCAGUUCAUCCAAUUUCGAGGAUCGGUUCAAAGACGAGGAAAAUUCGCGCCUAAAGCUGAGCUCAUUCUAAUUAAUUUUUCUUAAUAUUUAUUUCACAGUUAUUAUUAUUCUGUUUUCAACUUUUACUUUUGACAUUAUUUUUCUGUUAAUUUCAGGUUUUCAAAUUUUUAUCCCCCCAAACGUCUUGGGCACGACAGCUGCCCCGACAUAAAUCUGGUCAAACGAGCAACAAUUUACAGUAAACCAGUCUCUGAGGGAUCGACCCUACUCUCUAUACUGCAUAAUUUGCAACUUAAGGCGUAGGUUUAUAUUGGUGGAUUCGACACCCAUCAGUUUUGGCGCCGUUGCCGGGGACUAGCAACACUUACAAAUUGCUUAAAUUAUCUUCAUGACCAGAUCUUCAUCCGGAGAUCUCAGAGAUCGAAAAAUCAGCACGAGCACGACGUAAAGAGACGGAAGUUCUUAAGCGUGUAGCAGUAAUUGAACGUGGAAAACAAGUCGAAGUGGUUGAUCCUGAGACCGAACCACCUCCUACAACAAAAGAAGUAGAAGACAACCUCGGUGAACCAGAAAGGAUGGCACACCGAACCAUUCGUCAACUAGCUGCUGCUUCCAACGACCAAACACCGUUAUGCAUCAACUAUCCAAUCGGAAAAACCCCAUUCGAGUUGAAGUCAGGCCUGAUCCACCUUUUGCCCACUUUUCGAGGCUUGAAGAACGAAAAUCCACAUACCCACUUGAGAGAAUUCCACAUGGUCUGCUCAAGCAUGAAACCACAGGGAGUAACCAAAGAUGAAAUUAAACUUCGGGCAUUUCCUUUUUCUUUAGUUGAUACAGCAAAAGAAUGGUUAUUUUACUUACCUCCAGGUUCUAUUACAACGUGGGAUGACUUAUCUCGUGUUUUUCUUGACAGGUUUUUCCCAGCAUCGCGAGCAGCUGAACUUAGGAGAGACAUAGUGGGAAUUCGACAAAUGGAGAGCGAAUCGCUCUACGACUAUUGGGAGCGAUACAAAAAACUGUGUGCAAGUUGUCCUCAACACGGUUUGACCGAACAAUCACUUCUUCAAUAUUUCUACGAGGGUUUGCUCCCUAUGGAAAUGAAAAUGAUUGACGCUACUAGUGGAGGGGCGCUUGUCAAUAUGACUCCUCAAAGGGCAAGAGAACUGAUAUCCACUANNNNNNNNNNNNNNNNNNNNNNNNNNNNNNNNNNNNNNNNNNNNNNNNNNNNNNNNNNNNNNNNNNNNNNNNNNNNNNNNNNNNNNNNNNNNNNNNNNNNNNNNNNNNNNNNNNNNNNNNNNNNNNNNNNNNNNNNNNNNNNNNNNNNNNNNNNNNNNNNNNNNNNNNNNNNNNNNNNNNNNNNNNNNNNNNNNNNNNNNNNNNNNNNNNNNNNNNNNNNNNNNNNNNNNNNNNNNNNNNNNNNNNNNNNNNNNNNNNNNNNNNNNNNNNNNNNNNNNNNNNNNNNNNNNNNNNNGUGGAAGGAUCAUCCCAACUUUAAUUACGGAGCUAACCCCCGAUAUAAUCCGUCAUACCAACCGAGACCUUUGCAACCACCGCAACUGCCACCCAAGCCGAGCACAUCUCUAGAAGCUAUUGUGGAAAGACUUGCCGUCGAUGUUGCGAAGUACCAACAGAGGACAGACGCAUCAAUUCAGGAGUUAACUAAUCAAGUUAGUAAACUCUCGAUGGCGGUUAAUCGUUUGGAAUCUCAAGGUAAAUUACCUUCCCAGACAGAGCCGAAUCCUCGGCAGAAUGCAAGUGCAAUAACUCUUCGUAGCGGAAAAGUUCUGGAAACAGUUCCAGACAAAAGUCAUGGGCAAGAAAACAAAUGGGAAAAACAGAUCUCUGAUCCAAAAGCCAGACCGGAGUCAGAAAUUCAAAAACCAGUUGUGGUGCCACCUCCUUUUCCAGGGAGACUCGCGAAGGAUAAGAAAGAAAAGGAGGAAAAAGAAAUCCUUGAAACGUUUAGGAAAGUGGAGGUGAAUAUCCCUUUGCUCGACGCUAUCAAGCAAAUCCCUCGUUAUGCAAAAUUUCUCAAGGAAUUGUGCACUAGCAAGAGGAAGUUAAUAGGUAACGAAAGAGUAAAUGUAGGAGAAAAUGUCUCCGCGGUACUACAAAAGAAAGUUCUGCCUAAAUACAAGGACCAAGGUAUGUUUUCUAUUUCCUGUGAGAUAGGUAAUGUAGGCAUUAAGAAAGCCAUGUGCGAUUUAGGGGCUUCCAUUAAUGUUAUGCCUUAUCCUAUUUAUAAGUUGAUUGACGCGGGUCCUUUGAAAAAGACAGGAGUAAUAAUCCAGUUGGCGAGCAGGUCAGUCAUCUAUCCCGAAGGGUUGCUUGAAGACGUCCUUGUUAAAGUUAACGANNNNNNNNNNNNNNNNNNNNNNNNNNNNNNNNNNNNNNNNNNNNNNNNNNNNNNNNNNNNNNNNNNNNNNNNNNNNNNNNNNNNNNNNNNNNNNNNNNNNGGAAGGCCAUUUUUAAGUACCGCAAGUGCAAAAAUUGAUGUUCAGAGUGGAACAUUGACAAUGGAGUUUGAUGGCGAAAUCAUGAAAUUCAAUGUCUACGAAGCCAUGAGUCAUCCUAACUCAUUGUCAAAUAUUUCCAGUAUCGAUAGUAUAGAUUGUUUAACUCAAAAUUAUUCUGAAUAUCAUGACUUUGAUGAAUUGGAAACUGUCUUUUACAGAAGCAUUGACAUGGAUGUAUUGAGUCGUCUCGAGGAGUUAGAAGUUAUAGAAGAUCCGUUGCGAGAAAUUGUCAAACACUUGGAGACUCAACCAUCGUCGACGAGUUGAGGUAACCAUCUUGAACUAUUACCUUCCCAAGUUAAAAUGUUGCCUUCGAUUUUGCAGCCACAACCUUGGAGCUCAAAGCGUUACCAGACCACCUCAAGUAUGUUUUUUUGGGAGAGAAAGACACCCUACCGGUAAUAGUGUCAAACAGACUAACCAAAGACGAGGAGGAAAGUCUAGUUCGAGUUCUGAAGGAAUAUAAGGAAGCUAUUGGUUGGACAAUAGCUGACAUAAAAGGGCUAAGUCCAUCCACCUGUAUGCACAGAAUUUCCAUCGAAGAUAACACGAAACCAAAGAGAGAUGCUCAGAGGCACCUUAAUCCACCCAUGACGGAGGUAGUAAAGAAGGAGAUCCAGNNNNNNNNNNNNNNNNNNNNNNNNNNNNNNNNNNNNNNNNNNNNNNNNNNNNNNNNNNNNNNNNNNNNNNNNNNNNNNNNNNNNNNNNNNNNNNNNNNNNAUGUUGGAUGCUGGAAUGAUAUACCCGAUCUGUGACAGUGAUUGGGUUAGCCCAGUUCAUGUCGUGCCCAAGAAAACUGGCGUGACAGUGGUGCAAAAUUCAUUAGGAGAGCUAGUUCCUACCCGAGUCCAGAAUGGAUGGAGGGUUUGCAUCGAUUACAGGAAGUUGAACGCAGCUACCCGAAAAGACCAUUUUCCACUUCCCUUCAUCGAUCAAAUGCUCGAGCGAUUAGCUGGUAAGACUCAUUAUUGUUGUCUCGAUGGAUAUUCAGGAUUUUUCCAAAUUCCGGUGGCGCCUGAGGAUCAAGACAAAACAACUUUUACGUGCCCCUUUGCAACAUUUGCGUAUAGACGAAUGCCGUUUGGACUCUGUAAUGCUCCGGCCACCUUCCAGAGAUGUAUGGUAAGCAUAUUCUCCGAUUACAUCGAGAAAAUCAUUGAAGUCUUCAUGGAUGACUUCACGGUGUACGGUAACUCUUUUAAUGAAUGUCUCGAUAAUCUUGCUAAGAUAUUACAAAGAUGCCUAGAAUUUAAUCUUGUUUUAAAUUAUGAAAAAUGCCAUUUCAUGGUUGACAAAGGACUAGUUUUAGGUCAUAUAGUUUCCUCAGAAGGUAUUGAGGUCGAUAAAGCAAAAACAGAUAUUAUUAACUCAUUACCUUACCCCACAUCUGUGAGGGAAAUUCGUUCGUUUCUUGGACAUGCAGGAUUUUACAGACGAUUCAUAAAAGACUUCUCGAAGAUCGCGCAACCGCUCUGCAGUCUGUUACAGAAGGAUAAAGAAUUUAAAUUUGAGCAGACUUGUAAAGAUGCAUUUGAUGUACUGAAGCAGAAAUUGGUCUCCGCCCCCAUAGUGCAACCACCGAAUUGGAACUUCCCGUUUGAAAUCAUGUGUGAUGCAAGUGAUCGAAGUGUGGGAGCUGUUCUUGGCCAAAGAAUAGGGAAAGAGCCUCAUGUUAUCUACUACACUUCGAAAACUUUGGAUGCUACCCAAAGCAAUUACACAACCACUGAGAAAGAAUUAUUAGCUGUUGUGUUUGCUUUAGAUAAAUUUAGGUCUUACCUGAUGGGAACUAAAGUGAUUAUUUUUUCUGAUCAUGCAGCUUUGAAAUAUUUGAUAGGGAAGAAGGAGGCAAAACCUCGACUAAUUAGGUGGAUUCUACUUCUGCAAGAAUUUGAUUUUGAAAUCCGGGAUAAGAAGGGAUGCGAAAACUUAGUAGCCGACCAUCUGAGUCGAUUACCGAUUCCGACAGAUGACACACCAUUGAAAGACAACUUCCCAGAUGAAAACCUGUUUUCAGCAAAUGCGGUUCAUCCUUGGUACGCAGAUAUAGUAAAUUAUCUCGUCACAGGUACUAUACCUUCAGAAUUACCAAGGUCCAGAAAAGAUAAGAUUAAAAAAGAUGCUCGAUAUUACAUUUGGGACGAUCCUUACCUAUGGAAGCAUUGCUCCGAUCAGGUAAUUCGACGGUGUGUAGCAGAAACAGAGGUACAGUCUAUCUUAACUUUUUGCCAUUCUUAUGCAUGUGGAGGACACUUUGGACCUAAACGCACCGCACAUAAAAUUCUCGAGUGUGGACUAUUUUGGCCAAGUAUAUUUCGUGACGCCUUCUUAUUUUGUAAAACCUGUGAAAAAUGCCAAAAAGUCGGUAAUCUUAGCCGUCGAAAUGAGAUGCCCCUUACUCCCAUCCAUAUUUGUAAAAUUUUCGAUGUGUGGGGCAUCGAUUUUAUGGGUCCUUUUAUUUAUUCUUUUGGAAAUUUUUAUAUACUCUUAGCUGUUGAUUACGUUUCUAAGUGGAUAGAAGCAAAGGCUACUCGUAAUGAUAAUGCUAAAACUGUGGUUGACUUUCUUAAAAGUUCUAUCUUUUCCAGGUAUGGCACCCCACGAGCAUUAAUCAGUGAUAGAGGAACCCAUUUUUGCAAUAAGCUCGUAAGUGCACUUAUGGAGAAGUACGGAGUGACUCAACGAAUUUCUACCGCCUACCAUCCACAGACAAACGGACAAGCUGAAGUGUCAAAUCGAGAAAUCAAGUCCAUCUUGGAGAAGACUGUUAAACCAAACAGAAAGGAUUGGAGCUUGAGACUAAAUGACGCACUCUGGGCUUAUAGGACAGCUUACAAGGGACCAAUCGGCAUGUCACCUUAUCGACUCAUUUUUGGUAAACCGUGCCAUCUCCCGGUCGAAUUAGAGCAUAAAGCAUUUUAGGCAGUUAAGCAGUGUAAUAUGGAAAUGGAGACCGCAGGAAGAGCUCGAAAGUUGGACAUUCAGGAACUCGAGGAAAUUAGAAACGAUGCAUAUGAAAAUGCUCGAGUUUAUAAAGAAAAGACGAAGGCGUUCCACGAUAAGAGGAUCACUAGAAAGCAGUUUUCAAUAGGACAAAAAGUUCUCCUAUACGACUCCACCUUAAAAAUUUUUACGGGUAAGCUUCGAUCCAAAUUGAUAGGUCCAUUUACUAUCACUAAUCUAUUCUCAAAUGGUGCAGUGGAAAUUCAAAGCGAAGAAACCCGAAAGUGCUUUAAGGUGAAUGGUCAACGACUGAAACCCUUCUACGAGAAUUUUCAAAUACACACAGUUGAGGAGAUUGUUCUCGAAGAGCCCAAAACUUGAAUAACACAGGUCGUCGAGCUAAACGACGUUAAACAAAGCGCUGUUGGGAGACAACCCAAAUUUUCUUUUCCUUUAUGCAAAUAAAAUUUUUGGUAAAAUGGAAAAUGGAAAUGCAUGUCAAGGAUUAGUUCUGUCUAAGGAAAGACUUGGUACUUAAGUAUGUCCAUUGUGACUCACCUCUCUUUCCUGGGAACUUACUUGGUGCAUUUAUCACGACUGUUUUACCAAAUCUCGUAAUCUUGGUUUUUAAUAAUUUAUUUCUCGAGUUUAUAGCUUAGCUAAUAAAUUUGAAAAAAAACAUUUUAAUUUCCCUAUUAUUAUUAUUUAUUUUUACUAUUUUAUUUUUGCAGGAAAACAUUCCAAGACAAAAUUAAAUUCCACAUGUCAACCCACAAAAUUCUUUUUUCAGUUAAGGCCCACUCUACCUACGAGACCGCCCUCCAUGACGUUGAAAUACAUGGGGAGUUUCUUUUUCUCUCUUUCUCCUACUUAUCUUUACUUUUAUUUUUUAAAUUACAUUGGGACAAUGUAAAAUAAGUAGGGGGGAGGGAAACAUAAAUUGGUUCUAAUUUGCUUAUCUGUCGUCGCUAUUUUUGCAUGUUUUCGGUAAAAGGUAAAUUUUUCUUUUAAUUGGGAUGGUACACUUAUGGUUUGACCGAUUUAGCUAUUUAAUUCUUUACACAUGAAACUUUUCAAUAACCUAGACUUAGUAGGUAAGAAAUUUUUGGAAUUAUGAGUUUGCUUGAUUGCCUACCUUUUAUCAUAUGUUUUUAUUAUUUUUUCAAAAAAAAAAGAUUAAAUACUCCUCUGAUACAAAUGUUAAGAGUGAAAAUUUGGGUUGUAUAUCGAAUUAAGUAACCGGAAUGUGGUGCUUGGGUUGUCAUCACAUCUCGUGUAAAAAGGUUCAUGUGACUGUCCAAUUUAUUUGCACUCACUCCGCUGACAAGUUAUUAUGAGUAGGGCGAAAUAACCCGCUUAGAGACGUCCGAAUUGAGUAACCGGAACAUGGUGCUUGGGUUGUCAUCAUGUCUCGCGUCAAAAAAUUCGAUAAUGUCCUAAGUACAAAAAUAAAUAAAUAAAAUAAAAUGAAAGGUAAAUCUAUCAAGCUCUCAUAAAUUCUGAUAUAUAUUUACUUACUGCUUAGGCUAGGUUAUUUGAGUUGUUAAUGUGCUAGGAUUGAAUUGUUGAAUUGUGCAAACGAUGAGUAUCAAGUCCUAUUUUGGAGAAUUUUUUUCCUUUUGCAGAUACAUACAAAAUGCUCGAGGACUAGCAUAAGCUAAGUAGGGGGAAUUGAUUAAAUACUAAAAUUACAUAUUUUAUGUAAUUAAUUUGGUAUAUUUAUGAGAAUGCACCACUAAUUUUUCCAUAUUUAUUGAAUUUUGUGCAGGAAUGUAAUUUGGGGCUAAAUAGAAGAAAAAGGAAACAAUUGGGCUGAAUUGAAGAAAGAAGCGAAAAAGGAGGGCCAAAGAAGAAUUUUUCCAAGAUUAAUUAGCUGAAAUUUUUGAGUUAGUGGGAGAAUAUUUUGGGAUUUAUUUUAUUUUGGGAUAUUUUUUCCUUAAUUUCCUAUGACUAGUUGGCUCCUAAUUUAGUAAAUCAACUAGUAUAAAUAGAGCUUGUAUCGUUCAUCAUUUCAUCAAUUAAAAAAUAAUUUAGCUUUUGUCUUUCAAUUCUCUCCUUUCUCACGUAGCCUUUGUUAUUUCUUAGCUUGUUUUCCUUCAAUUUUCAUUAGUUCCAGUAGCCUACCAUCCAUUUCACCUUUAUUUUCAACUUUUCACAAAUUUAUUUAUUGUCUUUAGUUUCUUUAACUUUUAAUUCCUAAAAACUUCCAGCUUUUACUACUUUCCAUUUACAACACCUUUUUCAAAUUCCCUUUUUCAACCACCCCCACACUUAAUCACAUCACCCAUCUUUUCACCUCUUUUACCUUAUUUAAUUUAUCAAAUACCAACAUGUCCCAAACCUUAGCCAACUAAACCCAUUUUCAGCUUUAGGCCGAAAUUAGCCUCGUCAAAACCCGUGAGUUACGAACCCGAGCCAUUUAACUCCUAAAAUUCCAGUACUUAUUACUUCUCCGGAUUAAGAGUAUGAUUUUGUCAGCUCAUAANNNNNNNNNNNNNNNNNNNNNNNNNNNNNNNNNNNNNNNNNNNNNNNNNNNNNNNNNNNNNNNNNNNNNNNNNNNNNNNNNNNNNNNNNNNNNNNNNNNNCACUAAGUCAAAAAAGACGUCGUUUGAUUUGGUGUGAUUAGACGUACAGUUGGAAUUCUGAAAAGAACGUUUCUAAUCGGUUUUCUGUGAACACAUUAGCGUGCCAAGUGGAGGCUGCUGUUUGGUUCCGUCAAGGGAAGUAGUAACCGGAUUUAAAUGUCCCACGCGGUUGAGGGCAUUGGUUCGAGCUAGGCUCUUCUAGAACGCAAAGCUGCCGGAGUUCUAAAUCACGAACGUUUCGUGGUUGUUCGAUCGGUAAGAAUUAGUUAUUGGACGUUCCAUAACUAAUUUACACAAGGAAGAGUUGGUGUCCGAGGCGUCCUUGGUAGCUAUAACUAGCUUAUUGGAAAAGAGGAGUUCAUCCAAUUUCGAGGAUCGGUUCAAAGACGAGGAAAAUUCGCGCCUAAAGCUGAGGUCAUUCUAAUUAAUUUUUCUUAAUAUUUAUUUCACAGUUAUUAUUAUUCUGUUUUCAACUUUUACUUUUGACAUUAUUUUUCUGUUAAUUUCAGGUUUUCAAAUUUUUAUCCCCCCAAACGUCUUGGGCACGACAGCUGCCCCGACAUAAAUCUGGUCAAACGAGCAACAAUUUACAGUAAACCAGUCUCUGAGGGAUCGACCCUACUCUCUAUACUGCAUAAUUUGCAACUUAAGGCGUAGGUUUAUAUUGGUGGAUUCGACACCCAUCAAGCCGUAACAGAAUAUAACAAAUAAUAGAGAAAAUAUAAAAUAAAAAACAAAUAUUUUUUGUAUUUUGAUUCGACUAUAUAAAGCCGAAUUUUGCAUCUGUAAGAGGAUUUUUUUUUUGGAAUCAAUCAAAAAAGGAAAAAGUAUUCAAUACCAACAAUCAGAGAAUUUAAAAUACAAAAUAGAGAUCUAAGGUAGUCUUCUGCUAUUUUUUUCUUUCUUCGUUUUGAUUUGUUUUUUUAAAAUAACAUAGAAAAUAAAAAAAGGAAAGGAGACUUACCUAAUUGCCUUACGACGCAUCGUUGGAGGUGCCUCCCCCGCUGCCUUCAAAUCUGCUUCAAAAAGGAAUAAAAAGCCAAUUAUGGUGUGGCUCCGACCACCGUUCACGGUGGAAUCGCGGAGGAGGCACGGUGGACUGGCGACGGCUAAUGCUGGGUUUGAAACCCUAGCAGAGAAAAUGGAUGUUUUUUUUAAACAAAAUAGCAGAAUGUUUUUUUUAAAUUGUUGUUUUUAUAAAGGGUUUGAAACGGCGUCGUUUAGGCCUGUUAAGGUGGCCUCAAAACGGCGUCGUAUAAGCCAUGACCCACUCAGUGACCCGACCUGAAGAAAGGAUCCGCGUGUUUUGUCUCAAUGGUUUACUUGCGUUAAUUGGUCCCCCACUUUUGUAACGUGUUUAAAUUGAUCCUUUUAUGUUUCUUAAAUUUUGCCACAUAUUUCAUUGUUUGUUUCAAUUUGGUCCAUGCUGAAACGCAGCGUUUUGCGGCUGGGGAUAUUUUCCUCUGUAGUCCCCAUGUUCUUCGUGCGUGCCUUUUUGGUCCUCAAUUCUGCUUUAUUUUCAUUUUUUUUCUUUUUAUUUCAAAUUUAAUACAAUUUUAUCCAUACUUAUUUAAUUUAAUGUACUUGAUUUUUAUUCUAUUUAAAAUUCAUUUUUCUUUUAUUUUUAGAUAUAUUUAUUUUUAAAUCUAACUUUCUUUUUAUGUUUAAGUUUAAUAUAUUUUUAAUUUUAUUAUCAAUACGAUUUCAAUAUUAUAAUAUAUUAUUAUUUUAAACCUAUCAUUAAUAUUAUGUAAAUUCUGUUGGGAUUGGGGUUUUACAUCUCAGAGUAGAGCUGCAAACUGAUGGAGGCCAUUGAAGUGCCAGCUUGUAGAAGUCCGGAAUUGCUGGUUGCUGGGGUACUACAAAUGCUACCCAUAAUGAAAAAUUGAUACAAUGCAUUUUUACAAAUUUACAAAUAAAAAGAGAACUACUCCAUAUAUAAAUAUUACAUGCAUGGAUCGUUGGGCUGAGAUUGGAUGAUUGUACUUUGUGAGUAGCUGGUUUAUGAUCUCUUUUAUAAGCUUAGCACACAUAUUUCACAAAAUUUUUAAAGUCCUACAACCAUGAAAUAAAUAUUGAAGUUACUUAUCUCGAAGAGUUACUUCACAAUCACACCAAGAGAGAAAUAAACAAACUCACUUGUCUGAGUGGCUGAUUAUUCACCACCACCCAUGGCACAUAUUUGUUGGUGUUAAUAACAAAGAACAAACAAGUUGGCUGAGACUUGAGCAGCAAGGCUCGAUUCUUGCUGAAGAAAUAACAAAAUUUUCAAGACAGAAAAUUGAAAAGAAAAGUAAAGAACAAUGGAGAGUAUUUGAAACAAAAAACUGAUUGAAUUCAUUCAAUUUGAAAAAUGGCAUAAUGCCAAUACAUAAAUUAAGCACUGAGCUUGUCAAAAACAGAAAGUGGUCACCUAAUCAACACCUACUACCACUUAGACAUUGAAACUUGAAAAACAAAACUUGUAAACAUAGAUAAAGUUGAGUUUACAGCUCAUUCACCAUCUAAUUACAUCAAUCAUAAACCUAACUUAGUUUAAAAUGAACUAGAAUACAUUUCCUUAAACAAAAGUUACAAAAUGAACAAAAGAUCACCAGUUGCACUUGCUCCAAUAGCUUCUGCAUGGCUCGACCUGCAUGUCUUGUUUUUUUACUGCUCUUGGUGCUACAUGCUGACCAUAUUUCAACACUCCUCCUUGGUUAGCAUGUUGCAAACUCCAAUCUCUUUCUCAAAUGCUCGAACUUUGUCACACUAAGGGGCUUGGUUAAAAUGUCAGCAAGUUGAUCCUCUGAAUUGCAAUGAACCAGUUUCAUUUCUUGUGCUUGCUCCAUUUCUCUAACAACAUGAAGUUUAAUGUUGAAAUGUUUUGUUCUUCCAUGGAACACUGGGUUCUUUGCAAUUGCAACAGCGUACUGGUCUUCACAAAAGAUCUUUAUUGCUUCCCUUUGAUACACAUUUAAAUCAGCCAUUAUUUUCCUUAGCCAAUUGGCUUGGUUUACAACAUUUGAUGCUGCAACAUAUUCUACUUCAGCAGUAGAUUGUACAACUACUGUUUGUUUCUUCAAGCUCCAACAAAACAUAGCUGAACCAAGAUUGAAAGUAUACCCUGAGGUCUUUUCAUGUCAUCCAUCGAACAAGCCUAGUUACUAUCAGUAUAGCCAACCAACUUGAGGAAUUUAGCAUUUCUAUAUAUCAUUCCAUGGCUCAGUGUACCCUUGACAUACCUGAGCACUCUCUUUGCAGCUUGAAAGUGUCUCAUAUUGCUACAAUGCAAGAACCUUGAAAGCAAACUUACAGCAAACAUAAUGUCUGCCCUAGUGGCUGUUAGGUACAACAAGUAACCAACUAAGCUUCUGUAGAUUAUUUCAUAAACCUUCUCAAAAUCAUCAUGGCUCGAUAGUUUUUCUCCAACAGCAACUGGAGUAUUGGUUGCUUUGCUAUUUUGCAUUGAGAACUUGGUCAGAAUCUUAGAGGCAAAGGCUCUCUGACUUAGGAAUAUCCCAUUGUGUGUUUGUGUUACUUCCAUACCAAGAAAAUAGGUUAUCAUUCCUAGAUUAGACAUCUCAAAUAUUUGUUGCAUUUUGGUUUUGAAAUUAAUCAGUGUUGUUUGGUCUCCUCCUGUCACUAACAGGUCAUCAACAUACAGAGAUACAAUGAGUUGAGCCUAUGCCCCUUCUUUCUUAACAUAAAAAGUUAGCUCACUCUUGCUUCUUUUAAAUUUCAAGUUGACCAGGUAGCUAUCGAUCCUGCUAUACCAGGCCCUUUGAGCCUGUUUCAAGCCAUACAAGGCUUUCUUCAGUUUAUAAACCAAGUGUUCUUUACCAGCUAUUUCAAAGCCCUGAGGUUGUUCAACAUAGAUAUCCUCUUCAAGAAAUCCAUUGAGAAGGGCAGACUUCACAUCGAGCUGGUGGAUUUUCCAUUGCAUUUGUGCUGCUAAGGCAAUCAGCAACCUAAUGGUGUUGAGCCUGGCCACUACUGCAAAGGUCUCCAAGUAAUUCAAACCAUACUUCUGGCUAAACCCCUUAACAACCAGCCUUGGUUUCAGCUUAUUCAAGCUCCCAUCAGCAUUGUGCUUGGCUCGAUAGACCUAUUUUACCCCAAUAACCUUCCUAUUUGCUGGUCUUUGAAUCAGCUCCUAAGUCUGAUUCUUCUUAAUCAUGCUGAUUUUAUCAGCCAUUGCUUGUUUCUAGCCUAGGUGUACUUUAGCCUUUUCAAAGUAGCUUGGUUAUACUAUAACUACAUGAGCUCUUUCAUAAAUCUCAACCAAUGGUCUAGUGCCCCUGAUUGGUUCAUCAUCAAUGUCUAUUUCAGGACCAUUUUGAUCUGGCUCAGUUUGAUUUGCCAUUAGAUCUUUAGGAACUAUUUUUGGUUCAUUCUUCUCCCAGUUCCAACAUGUUUUCUCAUCGAACACCACAUCUCUUCUUACAGACACUUUGUUUGUUGAAGGAUCCAAGAUCCUAUAGCCCUUUUUGACUGUACUGUAGCCCACCAGAAUACCAGGUUGAGCUUUCUUGCCUAAUUUGUCCCUCUUCACUGCUGGGACAUGAGCAUAGCAUAUGCUACCAAAGACCCUUAGAUGAGCGAGUGAAGGUUUGAACCCGAACCAGGCUUCAAAUGGAGUCUUGUCAGCCAAGGCCUUGGUUGGAAGUCUGUUUUGGAUGUACACACAGUGUUGACUACCUCAGCCCAUAAGGUUUUGGGCAAAUUCUUCUCAAACAAUAGGCAUCUGGCCAUAUCCAUCAAGCUCCUAUUCUUCCUCUCAUUUACACCAUUCUGUUGAGGAGUAUAGGUGUUGGUGGGCUGGUGUUUGAUACCUACUUCAUCACUAAAAGCUUGGAACUGAGCUGAGGUGUAUUUAGUCCCAUUAUCGGACCUUAUGGUUUUUAGCUUGCAGCCAGUUUUAGUCUCUGUAGCAAUCUUGAAUUUGGAAAACACUGAGGCCACUUCUGAUUUCUGUUUCAAGAAGUAAAUCCAGCAAAACUUGAGAAAUCAUCAAUAAAUAGAAUAAAGUACCUGCUUCCAUUCAGUGACUCAGUCUUCAUGGGGCCACACAUAUCAUUGUGCACGAGCUGUAGCCUUUCUGAGGUUCUCCAGGCCUGAUUCGAGGGAAAUAGGAGUUUGGCCUAUUUUCCUAGCUGGCAUACUUCACAAACUUCCUAUUUUUCAACUGAACCAAUGAAAUUUUUAGCCAAAUCUUCUCUGGUCAGUUGCUCCAUCGAUCUAUAGUUGGCAUGACCAAGCCUUUGAUGCCAGAGCUUGGAUUCAUCUGAUGUGGCUAUAUAAGCAGUGUUUGAGCCAUUUGUCCAAUUAACAACAAAACUCUUAUCAUUCACAGUGAAUAUCAUGAACUUGGAUCCACUUGGAUCACUAAUUUGACACUCAUUGCGUUUGAACACUACAGAAUACCCUUUUUCUAAUAGCUGAGCAGGUUUCUAUUGAUUUCAGGCACCAACAACACAUUUAAAAUGAGCUCGUUGCCUGUAGGAGUGCAUAUCAAAACAUCUCCUCUACCUUUUGCCUUUAUAAAAUGGCCAUUGCCAACCUUUACCUUGGUUUUGUAGCUUUUGUCUAAUAAUUUGAAGAUGGCAGCAUCUGGUGUCAUAUGGUUGGUGCAACCAAUGUCUAAGAGCCAGCCAUUUGUAAGCUUCUCCUGAGCAGCUGAGCAUGACACAACAAAAACUUGCUCUUGUAAUAGCCUAGGCUCACAAAAAAAAACCCAAAAUAAUAAAACCAAGUCUAAGUCCAGUCCAAAAUUAUAUCAUUUGGCCCAAUCGAAAUGGCCUGUUACUUGAAAAUGUUGAAGGUCCAUCUACAAGCUUGAUGCAUAUGGAAACAUAAUCCUCGAGGAUAUGCAAUCUUAGAUAUGAUAUGCAAUCUUAUAAGAUAUGAUUUUGUAAUCUUAGAUAUUUAAUUUGUAGAUACCCUUUAAUCUUAGCCGUUGAUGUAAUUGACCUGUAGCGUUGGAUUUGGGGAGGAUCAACUAUAAAUAGGGGCCUCUCCUUCAUUGUAAAAACACUUAAGUUUGGAGCAAUAAUAAUUCUUAAGAACAUUCACUCAAAUUUCUCCCUCUCUUGCGUUCUUAUUUUCUAUGGCUUGUUCUUAAUUUGUUCUUCGUUCAUCUUCGUUUCUUUUUAAGUUGCUUUCAUUUGAGUUGGAUUUUGGUGGAGGAAUUUCGUUGAAUCUUCAUAUUGUGAGAGUUAGGCUGACUUAAACGUUUUUUUAACCUUUUUUAUUUAUCUAUUUAAUUGUUUAAUCAUUAAUUAUUCUUUUACUUUUAUUCGUUUAUUUUAUAUCUAUCAACUUUCUUAUUUACAUAUUGUUCAUUCAUUUAACCAUUCUUAUCUUUUUUUUUCUUCCAUUAAUUAUAUACUUUAUUUUUUUAAUAUUAUGUCACACAUGUUGUUUAUUUUUUAAAAACUCGUGUUAUAAAUUAUUCAUUUUAAAUUGUUUGAUUAUUUGCUUAAAUUUUUUUUCUCAUAUAUUAUCNNNNNNNNNNNNNNNNNNNNNNNNNNNNNNNNNNNNNNNNNNNNNNNNNNNNNNNNNNNNNNNNNNNNNNNNNNNNNNNNNNNNNNNNNNNNNNNNNNNNUUUAUUUUUAAACUCAUUUAUAUAUUAUUACUUUAUAUAUUACCUAUUUUCAUUUUUUAUAUAUUAUUUAUUCCAAACUUAUACAUAUAUUACCUACUUUUUUAUAUAUAUAAUUUAUUUAUUGAUUUGUAUAUUGUUGAUUUCAAAUUUCUUUUUCCCUUAUUAUUCAUUUUCAAAUUCAUUAUUUUUAAAUUUGUUUACAUUUUAUUUUGCCUUAUAUAUAUAUAUAUAUAUAUAUUAUUUUAUACUCUUUGUUUUAAAUUCAUUGGUCUAUGAUUAUUGAUGCUAGUAUUUAAAUAAUUGCCAUUAUGUGUUUUAUAAAUUAUUUUUUUGUAUUUUCAUAUUGCCUUUUUUAUCAAAGUUUUUACGCAUCGUUUUAAUAUUGCAUCAAUUUUUUCCAAUUUUAGAAAAGAAAACUUUUUGAAAUAAGGUAAUAUUUGAUACUUUGGAGCUUUGAGAAAAUCGUACCCUAACUUACUGGGUUUCAAUUUUUUUGAUCCAAAUAACCGAAUAUCCUUUUUAAACUUUAAUGCAUGAGACAAGCUUAGUUUCGAGGGUUAAAAUGUCGUAUCCUAACUUACUGGAUGUGACAUCUUAUUACUUUGGGACAAGGAGCUCUUAACAUCAAAUUCGAUUUAUUUAGUUUUUAAAGAGGAUCGUAUUUUAAAAUCUUUUCAAAUUUUCAACAUUAGGACAUUAAUUAAUCAAUUAGGUACUAAUUUUUGGGCAUUAUGAGGGUGCUAAUCCUUCCUCGUGCGUAACAGACUCCAUAGCCCAUUUUCUCAAAUUUUGUAGACCAAAAUCAUUAUUUUAAUAAAUCAAAAUGUUUUAUUAAAAUGAUUAAUCUCAAGGUGACCCGAUCACACCUCGAAAAAAGAUUGGUGGCGACUCCAUUUUCGUUUUAAAAGUUGACCCCGUUUUUCAAAAUAAAAAUGGUUUCGACACUCAUGGUCACUGCCUUCUUUUGCCAUUUGAGCUUCAGCCUUUGGUGUUGUGGUUGGUACUGCCUUGGUUUGCCUUUGCUUCUGCAAACCUUUUCAACAUGUCCCAUCUUUUUCCAGUGUUGGCACUGUACAUCUAGUCUAAACCAGUAAUUUGCUUCUGAAUGACCAAGUCUUUUGCAAUGCCUGCAGGGUUGGUCCCUUCUUCUUGUAGUAUCAAACUGUGGCUUGUCUUUCCAAGUCUUCUUGCCUUUGUAGGCAUUGUUGCUCAAGGAAAAAUUGGUUUUUCCUGGAAGGCACCUUCUUGGUGCUCCUCUAAUCUGCUGGCUCUUCUUUGCUCCUGUGCAUAGAAAGCAUUGAUCAGCUCUGUCAAUGUGAUGCUGGUUAGGUCCCUUGAGUCUUCGAGGGAUGAAAUUUUUGCCUUAUACCUCUCAGGCAAGGUUGAAAUCAUCUUCUCCACUAUCCUUGCUUCACUAAACUCCUCACCAAGGAGCCUCAUGCUGUUUACCACAGCCAUAAUUCUAUCUGAGUACUAUUUGACAGUUUCUUCUUCCUUCAUUUUCAAAUUCUCGAAGUCCCUUCUCAGGUUCAACAACUAUUGCUGCCUUGUCCUCUCUGUCCCUUGAAACUCCUCUUUUAACAUGUCCCAAGCCUGUUUUGGUGUCUCACAGGCCACGAUCCUUGUAAAGAUCACAUCUGACACUCAAUUUUGGAUGUAGGACAUGGCCUUGUACCUCUUAGUCCUUUCAUCAGCAUGCUGCCUGAUCUGAGCUAUUGUUGGAUUGGCUCUGAGUGGCUCUGGUUCAACAUCUGAGUUGACCACCUCCCACAAAUCGAAUGCCUGUAGGUAGGUCUACAUUUUGACCACCCAUAUGUGAUAGCUUUCUCUAUUGAAGAUUGGUGGUGCAGCUGGUGAGAAGCUUGAUGAGGCCAUUGUUAUAAGUAACAGGUCCCUUAAGAUUACAGCUCUAUAUACCAAUUGUUAGUGUUAACAACAAAGAAAAAACAAGUUGGUUGAGACUUGAGCAGCAAGGCUCGAUUUUUGCUGAAGAAAUAACAAAUUUUUCAAGACAGAAAAUUGAAAAAAAAAGCAAAGAACAAUGGACAAUAUUUGGAAAAAAAUUGAUUGAAUUCAUUCAAGUUGAAAAAUGGCAUAAUGCCAAUACAUAAUCAAGCACUAAGCUUGCCAAAAAUAGAAAGUGCUCACCUAAUCAACACCUACUACCACUAAUACAUUGAAACUUGAAAAAUAAAACUUGUAAACAUAGAUAAAGCUGAGUUUACAACUCAUUCACCUUAGACAAAAGUUACAAAAUGAACAAAAGAUCAUCGGCUGCACUUGCUCUAACAGCUUCUGCAUGGCUCGGCCUGCAUGUCUUGCUUCUUUAUUGCUCUUGGUGCUACAUGCUGACCAUACUUCAACAAUAUUCUUAAGGUGGCUUCAUAUGUGCAAUCUAAUUAGAAUAUUGCAGCUGAAGCCGCAAUUCAUUAAUUUGAAUCAAGUCAAUGCCAUUCGGAAGUCAUAGCGAAGAUGUUGCGAGAAUGGAUUAUUUUAAACUAUAGCAUAAAUACUUGAGUCUCAAAAUAAGCACUAGCUCAAUAAAACGCAUAUGAUAAUUUAGAAUACUGUAAUAAAACACAUAUUGAUAAUUCAGAUAUUAUAUUAAACAUUUUUAAACAUAUAUGAGACAAUUGUGGUAAAGCUGGCUAUGGAAAUUCUAUGGUAUCGGAUCCACUACUGCACAGGCCGUAAAAUAAGCUAGAACAAUUUUGGGGAGUUCCAAAGUUAUGGGAUGGACUCGGUCUUCCAUAACAGAUAAACAUCUCCUCGAGUAGUAGAACUCUAGUUCUUCUGUGUUUACUGCAUGAAAUUUGUGGAGAUGCUCUUAUAAGUCGGACAACUAUGUCCGCAACUUAUCGGACCGUAUAGGUGGAUCCACGUGUGUGUCCCAUAGCUAAAUCCCAAAAUUCAAUAAAACAAAUAAGAGACAAUAAAGUAUAUUAAACACAAAUAGGAAUGUGAAGGGAAAAUAAAUACAAUUUAUUCGAUAUACCUGAAUUUAAAUUUGUCCUAAGUUGUAUGGCCAAUUGGAAGUAUGGCAGAGGAUGAUGUGCAAAGUCGAAACAUGUUCCAUAUUUCAUCCAUUCCUUGAACCAAAACCCAAUGUCUGACCCUGUCGAUGCCAAGUUCGGCCAUAGUGUGGGCAAUUGGUUCCAAAGAGCUACAUCCCUUAUCAACAAUUGCUUUUAAAUAAGAAACAAAAAAAUUGAUUAGAUUACAGAUAAAUUACUUAAUAGUUUCAAGCGAAGAAUGUACAUAUGCGUACUUGGAGUGGUGGCCGGGUUAGAAUAGGUUGUGGAUGGCUGCAAGGCUUCCUUCCAUUGUAUGGGGGCCCAGCAUGUCAUGAGCGUCCUGCGCCCAAAUUCCAUGUAUUUUGAAUUCGGUUGGGAUUGGGAGUUUACAGUUGAGAGUAGAGCUACAAACAGAGGGAGGCCACUGAAAUGCCAACUUAUAGAAGUCUACCACUGGAAUUACUGGCGGCUGGGGUACAAGAAUAUAAUAUGUGAGAAGGUGGAGAUGAUCAAAUCUUUCAGCAGGGAUGUCGUCAAGGAGGCUAGUAGGAGUUUUGGCUCUCUAAUGGUAAAAUCUUUAAAAUAGAAUUGUACGUUCUUCAAAGUUGUAUUUGUCCGCUCGGACACAUAAAAACCAAUAUAAUGUGGUGGAGUUUAUUCGAGCAGCUCGUCAUGUUAUGUUUGGAUAAUUCCAUAUAUGUAUGGGUCACCUUUUCCUUUUAUUUUUCCAUGUAAAAAACAAAAGAAAAGAAAGCACUCUCUCCUUCUUAUUAAUAACAUUUUAUACUUAUUAAAUACAUUGGGCAAUCGUGGAAAAGCUACAUAGGGAAACUUAUGAUAUCUGAUAGGCUAUUACAUUGGCCAUGAUAUAAAUGGGAACAGUUUUUAAGUGUUCCAAGGAGAUGAGAUGCUGUCGGUCUUUCAUAACAUAUAUACAUCUCCGAGAGUAAUAAUUGUCUAUUGUUUGUUCUAUUUCUAUUACACGAAAUUUGGGGAUAUGCGUGUAUAAGCUGAAAAACUGCAUUCACAGCUUGUUGGACCGUAUAGGUGGAUCCACGUGUGAGUCCCAUAGCUAAAUCCCAAAAUUCAUUAAAACAAAUAAGAGACAAUAAAGUAUAUUAAACACAAAUAGGAAUGUGAAGGGAAAAUAAAAACAAUUUAUUCGAUAUACCUGAAUUUAAAUUUGUCCUAAGUUGUAUGGCCGAUUGGAAGUAUGACAGAGGAUCUUGUGCUUUGUCGAAACAUGUGCCAUGUUUCCUCCAUUCCUUGAACCAAAAUUUAAUGAUUGACUCUCCCAAUUUCAAGUUCGGCCAUUGUGAGCGCAAGUUGUUCCAAAGUGCUGCAUCCCUUAUUAACAAUUGCAUUUAAAUAAGAAACAAAAAAAUUUAUUAGAUUAUAGAUAAAUUACUUAAUAGUUUCAGGCGAAGAAUAUACGUAUGCAUACUCUGCGAGCUAAUUGUGAUGUCAUAGGUUGUGGAUUGGUGCAGCGAUGAUUUGUACCAUAUGGGGGCACCGGCCUGUCAUGAGCAUCUUGUGCCCAAAUUCCAUGUAUUUUGAAUUCAGUUGGGAUUGGGAGUUUACAGUUGAGAGUAGAGCUACAAACAGAUGGAGGCCAUUGAAGUGCCAGCUUGUAGAAGUCCGGAAUUGCUGGUUGCUGGGGUACUGCAAAUGCUACCCAUAAUGAAAAAUUGAUACAAUGCAUUUUUACAAAUUUACAAAUAAAAAGAGAACUACUCCAUAUAAAAAUAUUACAUGCAUGGAUGGUUGGGCUGAGAUUGGAUGAUUGUGCUUUGCGAGUAGCUGGUUUAUGAUCUCCUUUAUAAGCUUGGCACACAUAUUUCGCAAAAUUUUCAAAGUCCUGCAACCAUGAAAUAAAUAUUGAAGUUACUUAUCCCAAAGUGUUACUUCACAAUCACACCAAGAGAGAAAUAAACAAACUCACUUGUCUGAGUGGCUGAUUAUUCACCACCACCCAUGGCACAUAUUCUUGAGGUGGCUUCAUAUGUGCAGUCUCAUUAGAAUAUUGCAGCUGAAGCCGCAAUUCAUUAAUUUGGAAAUUCAAUGUUAGAAAAAGCAAAGGAGAGUUAAUUAAAUACUAAGACAUGCAGCCAACCUUAUAUCCGAAUCCAGUAGUAUAGCUGAUGAAGUUGUUCAGUAUGCGGCAAACACUCAACAGCAAGCAGGCCAUGAAGACCAAGUAGUGCAGGAGCUGCUGCAAUAAGUUAUUUUUGCUUAUUUUGUAAACUUUAGUUAAAGAAAUGAGUCUUAGUUCAUUUCUAACUAAGUUAAGUCUUUGAUUGAUGUAGUUAGCUUAUGUAUGAGCUGUAAACACAGCAUUGUAUAUGUUUACAAGCUAAAAUUCCAAGUUUCCAUGUAAUUAGUGGAGGUAGGUAAUGAUUAGGUGCUUACUUGCUGAUUUUGACAAGCUUUAUGCCAUUUUUUUUCUCAUGAAUGAAUUAAGUUUUGUUCAUCAAAUACUCUCCAUUUUUCUAAGCUUUUCUUCUUCUUUCUUUUGCUCGAUUUCAUUUGUUUGCUCAACAAGCAUCAAAGCUUGUUGCACAAGACACUUGCCGAGUCUGUUAUUACUGUUAGUGCACCAACAAUUGGUAUCUAGAGCCUACUUCUUAAGGGAUCUGUUAUACAAAUCCAUGGCUUCAUCAAGCUUUUCACCAGCUGCACCUCAAGUCUUCAAUGGAGAAGGCUAUCACAUAUGGGUGGUCAAAAUGAAGACCUACCUGCAGGCUUACGAUCUGUGGGAGGUGGUCAACUCAGAUGUUGAACCAGAGCCACUUAGAGACAAUCCAACAGUGGCUCAGAUCAGGCAGCAUGCUGAUGAGAGGACCAAGAGGUACAAAGCCAUGUCUUGCAUCCAGAACUCAGUGUCUGAUGUGAUUUUCACAAGGAUUAUGGCCUGUGAAUCACCAAAACAGGCCUGGGACAAGUUGCAGGAAGAAUUUCAAGGGACAGAGAGGACAAGGCAGCAACAAUUGUUGAACUUGAGGAGAGAUUUCGAGAAUUUGAAGAUGAAGGAAGAAGAAACUGUCAAGCAAUAUUCUGACAGGAUUAUGGCUAUGGUUAACAGCAUCAGGCUCCUUGGAGAGCAGUUCAAUAAAGCUAGGAUAGUGGAGAAGGUUAUAGCAACUCUGCCUGAGAGGUAUGAGGCAAAAAUCUCAUCUCUUGAGGACUCAAGGGACCUGUCCACCAUCUCCCUAACAGAGUUGAUCAAUGCUCUAUAUGCUCAAGAGCAGAGGAGAGCAAGCAGACUGGAGGAGCACCAGGAAGGUGCCUUUCAGGCAAGAACAAAUACUGCCUACAAAGGCAAGAAGGCCUGGAGAGACAAACCAAAGAAUGAUGCUGCAAGGAGAGAAGGUCAGACUUGCAAGCACUGCAGAAGGGUUGGUCAUCCAGAAGAAAAGUGCUGGUUUAAUCCAGAUGCUGUAUGUCAGCAUUGUAAGAAGAAGGGUCAUGUUGAGAGAGUCUGCAAGAGCAAGACCAAAUCGAGGCAGAAUCAGUUUCAACAGAUGAAAGCUGAGGCUCGAAUAGCUAAGGAGGACAGUGACCAAGAGGAGCAAGUCUUUGCUGUGUCAUGCUCAGCUGCUCAGGAAAGGUUCUCAUCUGGUUGGCUCCUAGACAGUGGAUGCACCAACCACAUGACACUUGAUGCUGCAAUCUUCAAGUCUUUAGACAGAAGCUGCAGAACUAAGGUCAAAAUAGGAAAUGGUCAUUUUAUUCAAGCUGAAGGCAAGGGUGAUGUGCUGAUAUGCACCUCUACAGGUGCCAAAGUGAUUUCAAAUGUGCUCUUGGUGCCUGAAAUUGACAGAAACCUACUCAGCAUAGCUCAACUGCUGGAGAAAGGUUAUUCUGUUGUGUUUAAAGACCAUCAGUGCCAAAUUAGUGAUCCAAGUGGAUCCAAACUGAUGGCAGUCCCUAUGGCUGAUAAGAGCUUUGUAGUUGACUGGACUAAGGAGUCAGACAUUGCCUACAUUGCCACAUCAGAUGAAUCCAAGUUGUGGCAUCAAAGGCUGGGACAUGCCAACUUCAGAUCGAUGGCCCGAAUGGUCAGAGAAGACCUGGCUGAAAACUUCUUCAACUUAGUGGAUCAUGAUGAUGUAUGUGAAGUAUGUCAGCUAGGAAAGCAGGUCAGACUCCCAUUUCCCUCGAAUCAAGCCUGGAGAGCCUCUGAAAAACUCCAACUGGUGCACACUGAUGUGUGUGGCCCUAUGAAGACUGAGUCAUUAAGUGGAAACAGGUAUUUCAUACUGUUCAUUGAUGAUUUCUCGAGAUAUUGCUGGAUUUAUUUCUUAAAACAGAAAUCAGAGGUGGCCACUGUGUUUUGGAAGUUCAAAACUGCUGCUGAGACUGAAACAGGCUGCAAGAUGAAGACCAUAAGUCUGAUAAUGGGACUGAGUACACCUCAGCUCAGUUCCAAGCCUUCUGUGAUAAGGCAGGCAUCAAACACCACUUUACCAACACUUAUACACCUCAACAGAAUGGUGUAAGUGAAAGGAAGAAUAGGAGCUUGAUGGAUAUGGCCAGAUGCUUGAUGAUUCAGAAGAAUCUGCCUAAAGCACUAUGGGCAGAAGCAGUUAACACUGCAACAUACAUCCAAAAUAGACUUCCAACCAAGGCUUUGGAUCAGAAAACUCCAUUCAAGGCUUGGUUUGGCUUUAAGCCAUCACUGGCUCAUCUGAAGGUCUUUGGAUGCAUCUGUUAUACACAUGUAUCUACUGUUAAAAGGGACAAAUUGUCUGAAAGGGCUCGACCUGGUGUUCUGGUGGGCUAUAGUACUGUUAAGAAGGGCUAUAGGAUCUUGGAUCCUUCAACAAAGAAAGUGUCAGUCAGCAGAGAUGUGGUAUUUGAUGAAAAGUCAUGUUGGAACUGGGAGAGACAUGAACCUGAAGAAGUUUCUGAAGAACUUGCACCAGAUCAACCUGAGCCAGAUCAAAAUGUUCCUGAAAUGGACAUUGAUGAUGAACCAGUUAGAGGAACAAGACCAUUGACUGAGAUUUAUGAAAGGGCUCAUGUAGCUAUAGCUGAACCAAGCAAUUUUGAAGAGGCUGAAGCUCAGCAAGGGUGGAAGCAGGCAAUGGCUGAGGAGAUCAGCAUGAUUGAGAAGAACCAGACCUGGGAAUUGGUUGAAAGGCCAGUCAAAAGGAAGGUGAUUGGGGUGAAAUGGGUGUACAAAGCCAAGCAGAAUGCUGAUGGUACCUUAAACAAGUUGAAAGCAAGGCUAGUUGUCAAGGGAUUCAGUCAAAGGUAUGGGUUGGACUACCUGGAGACCUUUGCACCAGUGGCCAGGCUUGACACCAUCAGACUGCUGAUUGCCUUAGCAGCACAGCUCGAGUGGAAGAUCCAUCAGCUCGAUGUAAAAUCAGCCUUUCUGAAUGGUUUCCUAGAUGAAGACAUCUAUGUUGAACAACCACAAGGGUUUGAGAUAGCUGGCAGAGAGCAUAUGGUUUACAAAUUGAAGAAGGCCCUAUAUGGCUUAAAACAGGCUCCAAGGGCCUGGUACAGCAGAAUUGAUGGCUACUUGACUGAUCUGGGAUUCGAUCGAAGCAAGAGUGAGCCAACACUGUAUGUCAAGAAGCAAGGAACACAAACACAACUCAUUGUGUCCCUGUAUGUUGAUGACCUUCUAGUGACAGGAGGAGAUCGAGCAGUGCUGGUUGAUUUCAAGACCAAGAUGCAGGAAGUGUUUGAAAUGUCUGAUCUUGGGGAAAUGUCCUAUUUUCUUGGAAUGGAGGUGUCUCAAGCACAAAAUGAGAUAUUUCUAAGUCAGAGAAGCUUUGCCACAAAGAUUCUGACCAAGUUCUCCAUGCAAAACAACAAGGCAACUAAAACACCUGUUGCUGUUGGAGAAAAACUAUCGAGCCAAGGUGCUUUUGAGAAGGUAUGUGAAACAACCUACAGGAGUCUAGUUGGUUGUUUGCUAUACUUGACUGCCACUAGACCAGACAUCAUGUAUGCUGUAGGAUUGCUCUCAAGAUUCUUGCAUUGCUGCAAUGAGAAGCAUUUCCAAGCUGCAAAGAGAGUGUUGAGAUAUGUCAAGGGCACUUUGAACUAUGGUUUGAAGUACAGCAAAGAAGGAAAUUUGAAGCUGAUUGGGUACACAGAUAGUGACUGGGCUGGCUCAAUAGAUGACAUGAAAAGCACCUUAGGGUAUGCUUUUAACCUUGGUUCAGCCAUGUUUUGCUGGAGCUCGAAGAAGCAAAGCCUGGUGGCUCAAUCUACUGCUAAAGCAGAAUAUGUGGCAGCAGCAAGUGCUGUCAAUCAAGCUAUUUGGCUAAGGAAAGUCUUGGCCGAUUUGAAUUUGCAUCAAAAGGAAGCUACUGAGAUCUUCUGUGACAACCAAUCUGCUGUUGCAAUUGCUAAAAAUCUAGUGUUCCAUGGAAGAACAAAGCAUUUCAGCAUAAAGUUGCAUGUUGUUCGAGAAAUGGAGCAAGCACAAGAGGUGAAGCUGAUUCACUGCAAUUCAGAGGAUCAACUUGCUGACAUUCUGACUAAAGGUCUUAAUGUCACAAGGUUCGAGCAUUUAAGAGGAAAAUUAGGUGUUUGCACCAUACUAACCAAUCAGGAGUGAUGAAGUUGGUCAGUAUGCGGCAAACACUCAACAGCAAGCAGGCCAUGAAGACCAAGCAGUGCAGGAGCUGCUGCAACAAGUUAUUUUUGCUUAUUUUGUAAACUUUAGUUAAAGAAAUGAGUCUUAGUUCAUUUCUAACUAAGUUAAGUCUUUGAUUGAUGUAGUUAGCUUAUGUAUGAGCUGUAAACACAGCAUUGUAUAGGUUUACAAGCUAAAAUUCCAAGUUUCCAUGUAAUUAGUGGAGGUAGGUAAUGAUUAGGUGCUUACUUGCUGAUUUUGACAAGCUUUAUGCUUGUUUUAUGUAUUGGCUUGAUGCCAUUUUUUUUCUCAUGAAUGAAUUAAGUUUUGUUCAUCAAAUACUCUCCAUUUUUCUAAGCUUUUCUUCUUCUUUCUUUUGCUCGAUUUCAUUUGUUUGCUCAGCAAGCAUCAAAGCUUGUUGCACAAGACACUUGCCGAGUCUGUUAUUACUGUUAGUGCACCAACAAUAGCAUUUGUUGAUUAUCUCCUCAUUCAAUCUCAGCUUUUCACUACAAUAUUUCCACAGUGCUUCAAUGGGCGCCCCCUUUAAGCUUUGUUGCUCUGUGCAGCGAAUGAAUUCCAAGUGCUCUUUCUACACCACAGGAGAGUAAUUAAACACGAGUUGGAGAUGAGUACAAAUACUUAUGGCUGAUAGAAGUUACUGCAUCAGGCCAUAAAUGGAUGACACAACUAUGUAUAGUGUUUAAGUGACGUUCUUCUUCUCCAUGUUGCACAUUGUUGCAAAAACUAUAAUUAGUUAUAACACCGAAAAGAAAUUGAACUUCAUUAGUUAAUAAUGAUAAUAUAUACAUUAAAAUGAAGAAGGGUGUUGUAAACCUAGCAAUGGAUUUCAGCAUUGCCCCAAGGGACCAAUCUUAGAUUGAUAAUGCUAUGGAGGUCAGUGCGGAAGACCUUGAGUAGGCCAUUGGAGAUAAGCGAGAAUAUUGCAAGAGCAGCCAGAAUAUAGAAGAUUAAUGGUUGAAGAUAAGCCAUUGUUUCAGUGGUAGCUUUUGCACAAUGCUAAACCUCCAUUGUGCAAGGCUUCUUAUAGUUGAGAAUUGGGAUGAUGAGUAUUGCUUUCUGUCACUUUCAGAAACCAUGAGACAAAUUUACAAAGUUAUCAUCUUUAAAAAAAACAAUUAUUCACCACUUUAAAAAAAUUUAUUUACAUGAAAGAUUGCUUAUCUGUUUAUGUAUGAAUAUUGUCUAAACAUGAAAGGAGAAAUCUUAUUAGAUAAUAGAGUUUUAUAAUAAUUUAUAAUUUGAAUUAAGUUGGCCUUCUAAAAUGCUCUUAGACCAUUAUUAGUGAAUUAAAUAAAACUACUUGGCUCAUAUAAAUAAUUUGAACCAUCGUGCAGUGACACGAGACAAGAAUCUACUUAGUCUAAAUGAAUAUUAAUGGUAAAAAGCCAGUAUGUAAGUCCUUAUCAUAAUAAAGAUAAAAGAAAAUUACUUUGGCACCACCUCUCAUUAAUUCUUAAUAUUUGUGUGAAUGUUUAUUAAUCUUCACAAAGGAUGGACUUCUUUAAUUAUGAACAAUUCUAAGUGCUUGUCAAUUCUUAUUAUGAAGUCAUUCUUUAAUAUAAAUUAUAUAUUAGUCUUGAUAUGGCUUUUCUUUUCUGCAGUCAUCGUAUUAAGCGACUUCGAGGAAAACGAUGAUGGAAGAGAGUGAUGAUGAUAAUAAUCCACCACAAUCAAGUAUUGACUUGAAUAAUAUAAUUCAAUUUCAAUGACUUAAUUAAAUUAUACAAAUCUCAUAUUGCUAAACUGAAUUUUUGAGAUUCUCUAUAAGUCAUUAUACUUCAUUAAGUUAAUAAAAAUUAAGUUUAGACCUUGAACUUGUGGCCUACAAGGCUAAUGCAAUUUACAUCCAAGUCUUUUUGUUUUUAAAACUUCUUAACCUGUAAAAAUAUUUUAAUCGACUGAAGCUAUUUUCAGUUAAGUUCGUAUUAAUCUUUUUCAAACUAUUUUUAGCUAAUUCAAUCAACUUACCUUUGCUAUAUUUAACCAGUGAAAUUUUUAUAAAUACACCUUCAAAAUUACCAAUUUAUUCUUUACAUUCUCUUUCAAACACUCCUUGUUUACUCAAAAGCUUUCUUCUAUAAUUUUAGCCGAAUAUUUAUUUGGUUUGUUUUUCCUACUGAUUAAUAGAAUUGUUUGUUGAAUUAUGAAAUAUUUGUAAAGACAAUGAUAUUCACACCUCAAACAAUAAUUCUAAUAUUCUAAACCUCCUAUUUCUAACCAUUCCAAGGAUAAAAAUUAGAUAUAAAUGAUUUUCUCCUUUUAUUGUGUUGAAUUUAAUUACAGAACAAAUUUAAAGGAAAAUGAGUCGGGUGUUCAAAUUCUUUUAAUUUAUUUUAAGACUAAUCAUGUUUGAAGAGGCAUGAAUAUUUUUCCCAAAUUUCAAGAAUUUGAUUUGAAAAUUACAAUAAUUAGUUCGCAAAAAGGUAUGAAGUGAAUAAGAUAUAGAUAUAAUGACCCUAAUGUUUUUUUUUUCAUUUUUAUUAUAUAUUUUUAUUAUUUUCAAAUUUCAAAUUUUAAUCAAAUUGUUAUUUUUUUAUAAAAAAAUUAUCUAAAUUGUUAAAAUUUGAAUGAUGUUGAUGUUGUGACCUAGGUGAUACUCCACUUAUACUUCAACGUUGAUGCGAUUUUUUAAAAAAAAUUGAACUUUUAAUGUUUUAUGUAUUUUUUAUUUUUUUAUACAGUACAUGUAUAUUAUCAUAUAGGUUAUAACAUCAUUUUUUUUAUGAAAUACAUGUGUAUUAUCAUACCGUAUUCAACAGACUGUCAUUCAAGUGGCCAUCCGAGUUUCCUACUUUUCAUCAUAUGAUGAUCCCUACGAAAUUAGCCCUUUAACUGUUACUUUUUCAAUAAUUUCGCUUUCAAGAGAAAUAGUAUUGACAGACAUAUCUGUCACUUAGUUCAUCCUUUCUAGUACCUCUUACCGUCAAAGGGAUUCUAACUAACUCUUCUUUACCGAUUUGUCUGUAGCUUUUCUUUACAAAUCAAUCCUUCCCACACGACAAACCUUGUCUUCUUUAGUUAUGAACAAAUCUAAUUACUUGCAAACUCAAUGGGUCAUACUUUAUUACUAAAACAUUUCUAGCUCCUUUUUUUAUUAAGUCAUUCUUUAAUAUAAAUUAUAUAUGGCUUUUCUUUAUUCGAUUUCUUGUGGGAAAACGAUGAAGAAAUCAGCAACUCUAGUGGAAGAGAGUAAUGAUAGUAAUUCAUCAGUGUUGAAUUGAAUUUAAAUCAAUUAAUUAACUCAUAGGUAGAAUUCGAAUCUAAAGGUUUAAGAUUCAAAAAUCUUUUUCUUUUUAAUUAAAAAUUUUUAAAAUCUUAACUUAUUAUCAAUAAUGUCUAGAUUUUGUUUACAUGUUAAUUUUCCUAGAUCACAUUUUAAAUAAAUUGUUGAAAUCUUAAUAUUUUAAAUUUUUAAGAUAAUAAGAUUGGGUUUAAUAUAGCAUAGAAAUCUCUUCAUCUUUUAGAAUGUUACUUGGUCAGCUUUUGAAAUCGUCAAAGUUUCUCUUAGUUAGGCACAACAGUUUGAAUCGAGUCAGAGCAUUUAUAAGGCCAAUCUUCCAAAUUUAUGCUACCAAAAGCACACUGAAGGAAUGUGGGUUCAUCUUUUUUCCAAUGUUGCAGUGGAGCGAGCCAUUGGGAAUGCUUUUGCUGGAGGAGCGAUACGCGAUCAGAUCGGUAAUUGGAUAUUCGGAUAUAAUCGAUACAUGGGCAGCUAUACUCCUUUUGAGGCGGAACUCUAGGGUAUUUUAGAUGGGGUCCUCAUUCUGUUAAAUAAAGGAUACAAAUGGGUCACAAUUUAAAUAAACAAUUCAGAUGUGGUCCAUCACAGUUCUUGAAGGGUUCAAAGGGUUAUGCGUUUUGAAGGACAGUGGCAAAUAAGAGUUAUGUCUAAAGAAACAAACUUAAUUGCGGACCGAUUGACUAAGCUUUUUCCUUGCAUAGAAGUCAAGCUUACAAAUUUUCGAUGUACCUCCUAAUGAGGUAUUGGAGACUCUUCAACAAAAUAAAGCUUGUGGUGCUUUUGAACAAUUGAUUUGAUAUGAUUUUGUUUUACUUUCACCAAAAAAUACAAAUUAUAACAAAAAAAAAUAGUAUAGAUAUAUAAUCAUAAAUUUUAUAAAACAUAACUUCUCAAAGAGGCAUAGCACAUUAACUACAAAGGUAGCCUACUGGUGAUAAAAUCUUCCAGUUAAACAGAUGAACUCCAAAUUUAUCAUAUGACAAUAAAUGAAAAAGAAAGGUGGAACAAGCCAAAACAAGCAGAUCUUUUAAGCAAAAAGAGCACAAACAAACAAACAAACAAAAAUUCCUUCUUUUCUUAUGUUUAGUCGUGUCGUCUUUGUAAGGAAUAAAAAGGUGGCAAGAUGUCUUUAUUCCCAGGCUCGUAAACUCGCUCCUAGUUCUUCUUCCAUUUUCGUCCAUCAGGUAAGUGAUAAAGUACAAUUUUACUUUUACUGAUUUAAAAUUUUUGAACAACCUAAAUGAAUAAUUUUUUAUUUUAAAGGGGAGCUGGGCCCUGCUAGUCUCCCCUAAUUACACCACUGAAGGUGGACUUGUGCGAUGAGCCGAAAGGUUAGCCUAAUAUAGCUUCGAGUUUUUUAUUUUUUUGAAAUUAUUUUUUACUAAAUUUUUUAGAAUUUAUGAAAAGUUGCCUUGUUAACCUACAUCAACUAUACUUAGUCAAACUAAAAAUAACUAAACCACUUAAAGCCAUUUUUAAUUACGUCUGAAUUCAUUGAAUCAUUUUUAAAUUAUAUUUAAUUAGUUCAAUCAACUUACCUUUUCAAAUUAUAAUACUAGGAAUGUUCCAUCUCAUGUUGUGGCAUCUCAAAAAAUAGCAUCUCCACAGCCAUGAGACAAGAAUCUACUUAAUCUAAAUGUUGAAUUAAUUUAUUUUGGUUAAACGUCGAUCAAUGGGGCUGACGUUUGGCCCCCUUUUGGUUCAGCUUUUAGGUACAAACUAAAUAAAUAAGAAAGACUAAAAAAGAUAAAGAACAAAUUUCUUGGAGCUUUCCUCUGACAAAUAUUUUAAUUAUGAAUGGCAUUCUAUUGUGCUAAUUACAGUUUAAUUUCGGUCCUUAAAAAAAGUUUUUUUUUUAAUUUCCUCUUUGUGAAAUUCCUUGGACAAGUAUUUUCAUAUGAAUGGCAUUAUAGUCCUUUUAUUCUAUUGUGCUAAUCACUUGGUUUCUUUGGGUUAUGGGAUUAUAAACCUUUCGUCUUCAUUAAUUAUAAACAAUUCUAAGUGCUUGCCUAUUAUUAUUAUGAAGUCAUUCUUUAAUAUAAGUUAGAUAUUAGUCUUGUUGGUUCUCAAUUGUUGAAGGGUUCAAUAUCAUUUCUACUCUCCUUUUCUGCUGUCAUCAUAUCAAGCGAUUUCCCAGGGAAAACGAUGAAGAAAUAGUGGAUAAUUGAUGAAAGAGAGUAAUGAUAAUAAUUCAUCAUAAUCAAAUCUUUACGACUAUUGAAUUGAAUAAUAUAAUUAAAUUUAAAUCAAUUAAUUAAUUCACACAUUUAUUUUAUAAAGUAGAACUUAGAACUUUAAUGUUCAAUAUUCGAAAUUAUUUUAAUAAAUCUUUUCUAAAAUCUUAACCUCAAGAUUUUAUUGACAUUUCAAUUGUCAAUUGUAACCUUAAUGCUUAUGCAUUUUAAAAAUUAUACAAAUCUCACAUUGUUAAAGAAAGAUUUUGAAAUUCUUGUUUAUAAGCAGGAAAAAUUAAGUUUAGACGGUCUUGUGACUUGUGCAUUGAGCCACCAAGCCGAUGCAAUUUACAUCCAUAGUCUUUUUGUUUUUCAAAUUAUUUUUUUACUCAAUUUUUGAGAGUUAAAAGAGAAGUUAACUUCUUAACUUGUAAGAUCUAUAUUUAGUCAAAUUAAAACUAACUUAAUCAAUUAAAGUUAUUUUUAGUUAAAUACAGAUUCAUUUUGAAGAUCAACAGAGAUUGGUGUUUGAGUGAAACAUGGAUGACAAGGGGAGAAUAGAGCAAUAGGAGAAAUAAUGAUAUUGACUUGUUGUAGAUUGUAUUGGAACAGCUAGUACCAUAAUUAGGGGACCCAAAAAAUUUUAAAUUUUGAGUUAAUUGAAUCAAGUUAUUCAGUUUUUUUAGCCAACUCGAAUAAGUAAUUUGAGUUUUGAGUUCGAGUCGAGUUAUAUUUUACAAUUUGAAUAAUAGAUUGGUGUAAAUACACCUUUACUCCCUGUCAAUUUUAAAAAUAAGCAAAAUGAUUUCUCUCAAAAAAAAAAAAAUCAAACUUGUUUAAAGUAUUGUGAUAAGGGGAGUAGUUUCACAUGGAUGAACACACAUUUUCAUUCUGUUAUAGACCGAAGAAACCUGAAGAAGAUCAUGUGGCACUUGAUACUAGCAUACUUGUUACCACAACUAGUUUAGAUUUUGUGAAAAAGAGGGAGCACUGUGUGCUAUUGCUAUUGCAAUUCUACUGUUGCAAUUUUGCUACUACAAUUUAGGGAGACUUAUUUUUAUCAACAAAAAUGUGACAAGGUUAUCUCGAUUUAAAAAUGCUUUAUUCUCAUAAAAACGUAAGUAUGAACAAACAUAAAAUAUAUUAAUCGAUCAUGAUUGUCCACACAUGAAAGGAGAAAUCUUAGUACAUAAUAUUUUUUACUUGUUAUCUUAUUACAUAAUAAAGUUGUAAAGAAUUUAAACUAUAGUAAUUUAUAAUUUAAAUUAAAUUAAUAAAUUAUAAUUUAUUAAAGUAUUUACUGAAUCAUUAGCCUUCUAAAAUUUUCUUUGACCAUUAUUAGUGAAUUAAAUAAACCUAAUUGACUCAUAUAAAUAAUUUGAACCAUCGUGCACUGCCAUGAGACAUGAAUUACUUUCUAGUUAGUCUAAAUGUUGUAUUAAUUUCUUUUAACUUUUGGUUGAGCUUUCGGGUACAAACUAAAUAAAUAAGAAAGACUACAAAAAUAUAAAGAGAUGUCCUCUUUGCAGUGGCGUAGGUUGGGGUUAGCAAGGCACGGCUCUCUUAAAAUAGAAAAUUCCUAUUACAUCUUACACAUUUAUGUUCUCCCUCUCCAUCCAUCUUCAUAUUCAAUAUUCAUUUCAUGCAUAUCCUUCUUCAUAUUCAGUAUUCAUUUGAUGCAUUUCUCGUUGGUUGACAUAUUACAUAUUUCUCAACUUCUUGUAUUCCAUUGAUACGAACCAGGCUCUCUAAAUAAGAAUGAAGGGAGAUGGCGAAACGAAGAUGAUCUAGAUCAGUAUUAAUCUCAAGCUUCUUAAGCUCUUGGGUGGAGGCGUCAAAUAGGAGUACUUCAUCAUUUGUGUCUCUAAGAAACAAGUCACUAUUUUUUCCAAAUCCCAUUAAUGGGUGUACAACUCCAGAAAUGGAUUUAAUAUUGAAUUGUUUAGUCCACACUCCUUCACUUGUAACCCAUAAAUCACAAGACGUGUCAAUUCUUUCCGUUGGGUAAACAAUAGCACCAAGUGAUCCAUUAAACACCAAUAGAUCAACAUAGUAUUCUGGGAAAGACCCAACGAAUUCUGGGAUAGGUAAAACUGAGAACUUGUCAUUCCUCAUGUCAAAUGAAAGAAUUAGUCCUCUAAAAUCAAGAUAUGCCCCUGUCUCUGUUUUCCAAUAGCAAAUUCCGUCUACAUAAUUAUUUCCCAAAGUUUUUCCAUUUGGAUUAUAAUCAGGAUAUGGAAUUUCCUUCCAGGAAUUACUUCUAAGAGAAUACAACUCAACUUGGUAUAUAAAAUCAGGAUGUGCAUAUUCUUCUUCACUAUUAACAAAAGUAAGAGUAACGAAUCGUAUGAAUUUGUAGUCAUCAGUUUUAGAAUCAAAGCCAAAAGCAGCGUGGUCAAAAGAAACGCCGUCUAAAGUAAGGUAGGUUUCUUCGAAUGGGGAAAAAUAUGGAGGGCGUUGGAUUGAAGAUGGUGGAAGGAUUUUAAACUCUCUAUUUGAUGGGUUCCAAAUGGCAGCCUUAUCCUUUGAAGGAUCAAAUAAACACAAUAAUCCAUGACAAGCACC